AUUUUGACAUCUAGGUUUUGUGACUUUUGAUUGUCACAAAAAAAAAUGCUUGUCAAAAAAAAAAAAAAAAACAAUUCAAUUAUUUUUGCAGAAAUUGUUUGGAAUUUUAUGUUUCCCAACACAAAAAGAUCGAAAAACAUUUUUAAAAAAUGGAUGUUCCUAUCUUUCGAAAUGGACCAACCCAACAGAAACAUCAUGGCUCCAUGUACUAACUUGUCCAAUGAACUAUGUCGCUUGAAUUAAUAACAUCAUGAUAACAAAGGGUCCUAUCAUCGAAAGACAAUACAGAACGUGUUGUCAUCAACAUCAAUAAUUCCCAGUACCAGCAGCAGAAAUUCAAUUCAAGUUCUGCAGAAUGAAGAGUGCCUCAAAAUGACUUUCUACACAUGCCCCCCAAUCAGGGUGAUGAUAUGUUUCAUGGAUGGACGAUGCUUACGACGGCUACAGCAACAGCAUUAGACACUACGGAUGAUACCGUAAACGAUGUCAUCGUUAUCGCCGUACGAAGUAAAGAAUCUGUUGCAAUGUAUCGACUGUGGCCAGGUGCUUAACUUCCUCGCCAAUCUCCUCGAGAGCCAAUCACCAAAUGUUUUGAACAGCAGAUAAUUCAAGUGAUAUCGGCAACCAAUGAGGCUCUUGGAUCACAACUAGCAAGUGGACCUAUUAAGCAGGGGCAAUUCAAAUUUGGCACAGUUGUUCCAUCACAACAACAGCAACUUCUUUAACUUCAACUCUCACACUCACAUAGUAAUGAAGUUUAUGGUUCAACUUGGGAACAAGGUGUUCGUGGUUAUGUUGAAUUGAAAAAAAAUUCAAAGAAACUUCGUAUGGAGCUCUGUGCCGGCAGCAUGAUAGUCAAUGUUAAUAGAACCAUGGUAAAAUCUUUCUCUAUCCAGCCACUAAAAGUUCUCCAAAAGGCAACUCAAUGUGCCUUCCGAAUGCAAUCCAAUCGCAUACCUGAUAACUCAAACUAGAGGCUUGGCAAGCAACGGAAACAUCAACUUACUUUAUGCGGUUCCAACAAAAAUUGAAGAAGCAGUAGAGGUUACAUUUCCUUUGUUUUUAUUUGCAAUAAAUUUAUUUAAAUAAUAAUUCGCUUUGUGUUUGAUAAAAAUGUAAAAUCAUCGGAAACAGGUCUAAGAAUAAUUUCACUAAUAAUCAAUCCAAUCAAAAGAAUUGGAGGAGAACACAAAAGUGUUCCUAUUUCAACACUGCCACGGUAUUUUUGAGGUUGGGGAAUCUACAGAUUACACCACAUGGACAAUAUCCCAUGGCUAUAUGU